CAUUGAGCUGAAACCUGGAAGCCAGAGCAUCUUAAGCUGCAAAAUAAGUAACAUCUGCUGCAAGUGCAAGUAAUCCAAUUCAGCCUCUUCGUUGGUGCUAGGACGACUUAAUCAAAAUGCCAGCCCCGAGUGCAAACGAAACCGGAAAUCUGUUGACAACUUACUUGAUCCUGAUAGCUCUCCUAAUAGCCCUCUGGGUGCUAUAUGCCGGCAUUUUACAAUAAGUUUUUUCUGGUCGUUAUCAUCAGUCAUUUAUUAACCGGACCAUACACCUAGCGUAAUUAUGGAUUUAACAGCUGUUUAAAGACAAGUUGCUAUUGCAACUUGAGUCAAUUAUUUGUAUUUUUAUAAGUAUUAAGUACACUAUGUUAAGUUUUAAAUGUAAAUAAACUUUUUUGUUUUUA